rnacentral:rRNA from 1 species
UACGUAGGGUGCGAGCGUUGUCCGGAUUUAUUGGGCGUAAAGGGCUCGUAGGCGGCCUGUCGCGUCGGGAGUGAAAGCCCACUGCUUAACGGUGGGUCUGCUUCCGGUACGGGCAGGCUGGAGGCAGGCAGGGGAGAACGGAAUUCCCGGUGUAGCGGUGAAAUGCGCAGAUAUCGGAAAGAACACCAACGGCGAAAGCACUCUGCUGGGCCGACACUGACACUGAGAGACGAAAGCUAGGGGAGCGAAUGGG